rfam:Candidatus Omnitrophica bacterium 4484_70.1 ex4484_70.1_scaffold_4496, whole genome shotgun sequence.
UUGUGGGUGUAAGUCCCACCGUCGUAAUUCCCAGUUUGACGACGUAGUUAUAUCCGACAGUCUUUGGGGUGACCCAAUGGCUGAAAGCUCGGAAGUAAAAGUCUCUAUGGUGAGGCGAGCAACCAGAAGGGCCGUAGCGAGA